GUCAACUUCCCUUCGAAGUAUACAAAUUCUUAACUAACACUUUGUACUUAAUUCAAGUUGCCUUAAUGAUUCAGAGAUUUGUUUGCAAUUUCACGACGGAUACAAUUCAAUAUGCUCAUUCCGGCCUUUACGUGCACACAAUGGGAUAAUUAAAAUGCGUAACGAAUGCUGAAAGCAUGGCUCUCCAACGCGCUGUCAUGCGGAGAACCAAAGCAAACCGAACCGAACCGAACCAAACUGAACCGCACCGCACCGCACUGCGAAUCUGAACGAUGUCCCAAUCGAUAUGGGCAAUGUCAUUACAUAGCAAUUAUCAUCUGCAAUAAAACCGGCCACAACUCAAAAUUUAA